GACGAACCGAGCGAACGUUAUUCGGAAUCACUGGGCUUAAAGGGCGCGUAGGCGGGCGAUCAAGUCAAGGGUGAAAGCCCCCGGCUCAACCGGGGAAGUGCCUCUGAUACUGGUCGCCUCGAGGGAGGUAGGGGCGUGUGGAAUUCCGGGUGUAGUGGUGAAAUGCGUAGAGAUCCGGAGGAACACCAGUGGCGAAGGCGACACGCUGGGCCGUACCUGACACUGAUGCGCGACAGCAUGGGGAGCAAACAGG
rnacentral:rRNA from 1 species